GAUGAACGCUGGCGGCGUGCUUAACACAUGCAAGUCGAACGGUGAAGCAGAGCUUGCUCUGUGGAUCAGUGGCGAACGGGUGAGUAACACGUGAGCAACCUGCCCCUGACUCUGGGAUAAGCGCUGGAAACGGCGUCUAAUACUGGAUAUGAGCUGCGACCGCAUGGUCAGCAGUUGGAAAGAUUUUUCGGUCUGGGAUGGGCUCACGGCCUAUCAGCUUGUUGGUGAGGUAAUGGCUCACCAAGGCGUCGACGGGUAGCCGGCCUGAGAGGGUGACCGGCCACACUGGGACUGAGACACGGCCCAGACUCCUACGGGAGGCAGCAGUGGGGAAUAUUGCACAAUGGGCGAAAGCCUGAUGCAGCAACGCCGCGUGAGGGAUGACGGCCUUCGGGUUGUAAACCUCUUUUAGCAGGGAAGAAGCGAAAGUGACGGUACCUGCAGAAAAAACGCCGGCUAACUACGU
rnacentral:rRNA from 1 species